CAGCCGCCGCGGUAAUACGAACCGUGCGAACGUUAUUCGGAAUCACUGGGCUUAAAGCGCGUGUAGGCGGAUGGGGACGUCGGUAGCUGAAAUCCCCCGGCCCAACCGGGGAAGUGGAGCCGAAACGACCCGUCUGGAGGGACGUAGGGGGACCUGGAACUUCCGGUGGAGCGGUGAAAUGCGUUGAGAUCGGAAGGAACGCCCGUGGCGAAAGCGAGGUCCUGGACGUCUGCUGACGCUGAGACGCGAAAGCCAGGGGAGCGAACGGGAUUAGAUACCCGUGUAGUCCCUGUCUCUUAUA
rnacentral:rRNA from 1 species